AUAUCGAAAAGCAGACGAACAUGUUAAAACAACAUGAGAAAUUGAGAACAGAGAAUGGAUGGAAUUAUCGCGCGUAGCUCUUUCUAAUAAAGAAAAGUGAGGGCAACGUGUAUUCAAAUUAAACUGUUGAAAGAAAAGUUUAGCAUAGUCGAAUUUAUUGUGAAAUCUAUUAUAUUAGAUUUGCCAUACCUACUCGGGCUACUCCUAGAGUCACAUUGACCCAUUCAGUUUCAAAAAAAGGUUGUGUCAACUGGUGAAUUAGAGUAGGGCUUGCUUGGUUCCUUAAUUGGUCUUCAUCUCAAAUAAAUGAAAUUGAUCUACGGAAACUUCUGCAGUUAGUUGCAAUUGGAGACACUAAGGAUCACUACAGUUUCAAAUGUUAUGCAAUGUAAGAGGUGAAACUUCAAGUUGCUCAAAAUCAGCUGCUCUGUCAAAUGAAAUGACAGGUUGUUUACUACCCAGUUGGUAAAGUAAUAUUGGAAUUUUUUCAUACAGUCACUGGCCAGUGGCAACUAACAUGUUCCAAAAAUAUGGGAGUGCAUCAGAUCCUCGUGUCCCUGUGGGCGUUUCCCAAAAAAGUAAAGAGACAGCAGUUUUUCUAAAGAAAAGGAGAGUCCCACGAGCCUAAAAAGGACAUGCCUGGAAGGGCAGUGUGUAUUAGGUUGGACUAGGUUGGAUUUCAGUCGGUUCAACCGCCGUUGGAUUGCAGAUUCCGCCGCCAUAGUAGGUGGUGGUCACUGUUUCAUCCAACAAAUGAAAACGAAAAGGACCGUUCAGCUCUUCGACAAGUUGGAAGGAAGCGCACCAAGUAUGUCGUUUCUAUAUGGUGGCAUUGCCGAAUUGGAACUGCCGACAAGACCGUGCCGACAAGAACUAGUGCCGGAUGCUCAGCUAGGAGUUUUAGAACAUGGGUUUUGGUGAAAUGACGAUUGCUGGUGGUUCAACCGUUCCCAGCACAGAUGAAUGGAAAUAACAACUUAUGGCUCAAACGCUUUUCGCAGACCAGCCAAUCGACGUCGGCGGAAGAUACAGGCAUGGCAAUUAUAACGAUAAGUUGGUCUGCCCCUGAUCCUUGGAGCACUGGACCAACUUUCCAUAUUGAGACUAUAGAUGGACCACACUGGAAACAACAGGCAAUAUGCAAGAAAGAAGUACUUUAACGUUAAGUCACUAAUGCUGCAACAGGAUGUGAGCUGGAUGACAUAUUCUGGCCUGUUCAACGAUAUGGACUGAGUCUAAAAUAGCUCCCCACCUCCUGGGAGUGAGAACUCGAAGACUCUUCAUUGUUGACGCCAAUAAAGCAGCCACAUUUUCUAUCUUUGUUGGAAAUGUUUUAAUCAAACAAAGUUCUUUUUAAAAAAAUUGUUCUUUUAACAUUUUACUGUAUACUGUUAAUUUCACAGAUUGGGAUGAGCUAUGCAAAAGAUUUAAACACGAAUCCAAUGAAAAGGACAACAGCUUUAUUACUACCAAGCUAUACAGACACAUCAAACAUUUGGCAAAAGCCUUACUCUAAAAGAAAGGGACCAUUGAGCCUUUCGACAAAUUCAAAUAGAGCGCAGCCAACAAAUAUCGUUCAGGUGAAAUCGCAACUUCCGACAGAGGUGCUGGACACGCAGUUUGACGACAUUAGAAAAUGGGUAAAUAUAUUGUUCAGUUUAUUCGCUUCUUAAAUUUCACGUCUGUGUCUUACAGUUCUAGUCGAGCAUCAUUCCUCACCGUAUUGUUAGUUUCGUCAGAUAGUUAUUUAAUUCAUAGCCAAAGUAAAAGAGCAUUUUAAUUGAAUUGGUAUUUCAGAAUUAAAGACUUUAAAAGAUGUUGACUAACCAUUUCCAAGCGUUGACAAAUAACUGCGACGAAAUGAUUGCCUGAAAGUCUGCGCCUGUAGCUUACCGAUAUCUGUCGACUACUGUCAUACCUGUCAUUAUUGUUUUCUCUUUGAGCAGUCAGUUAAAGGCAACCAGUCACUCGCACACACGCAACGUGUUGGCAAACCAAUGGUAGACGGGAGAUUGGUGGUGUCGGUGGAAAGACCAGUCAUAUUGGUCCCCAUUUUCAAACGAUUUAUUAUCCCAGUAGUAACUAUCCACCACUCAACAACUUCAGAUUUUCAUCUUUCAACACAUAAUAUUUUUUUUUUUUUUUUUAAUUUUGAUGGGGUGAGGAUUGGAAGGGUGAUUGGUGAUGGUUCAUAUUCUGAUAACGAGUUAGAUAUUUAAAUCUGUUUUUUAAUGUGAUUCUAUUAUUCAGAAAGAAAUUUCCAAACACGUCAUGGUUAUAUUCCCGUAUAUCCACUGAGCGUAUUUUAAUUUCCCUUCACUGUUCUGGCUGUGCAACUGCCACUGCACCUGCACCUGCAAAAAAAAAAGAAAACCGGAGCUCAUGUUUUCGUUUUGAAAUAAAACGCCCGUCAGUUUGUAGCUAGUUUCUUUUAAUAACGAGAAACCUGUGGGACUAAUGCGAGUUCUAAAUUACCGAAGCGUUUGUUUUUUUCAUGUUGGAACCAGGAAAA